rnacentral:lncRNA from 1 species
UGCAGCCAACCGCUCAGCCUUCUGGAGAGAUUUGCUCUGGUGUGUCAACUGCACCUACAAGUCCUUGUGGCUCUUCUCCAACAUUUGGCCAAACAUCUGUAAAUCCUCAUUCCAUCACAAGUACCAAUCCAUUUGGUGUAUCUAAUUCCCCGGUAUUUGGAACAGUAGGCACAUUUGGAGCAUCAAGCGCACCAGCUUUUGGCACUUCUCUCACUCAUGCUUUUGGAGCAUCAAAUUCUGCUUUUGGCACUUCCAAGACUCCUGUUUUUGGAGUGUCAAAUUCUGCUUUUGGCUUUUCCGACACUCCUACUUUUGGAUCAUCUUCUACUCCUUCAUUCAGCUCUGGGUCUAGCCCUGCUUUUGGCCAAUCAACACCAGCAUUUGCCAGUAGUCCUUUUGGAACAACUACAAUUGGAGCACAGAGUUCUUUUGGUGAGUAACCAAGCCUACUUGAUCAUAGACUUCGAAACUACUUGUACAGUUAGGCAGAAAUAUAUAUUUUCAUGGGCCUUACAUGAUUUAAGGUCAAGGGAGUUCGUAUACGUAUACAUAUAUAUAUAUUAUUUAAAAUUCUUUGAGUUCUCAUGUAGGACCCCAAUCUUCUGCACCAGCAUUUGGACAGUCAACUUUUGGGGCUCAACGUGGGGGAAGAAGAGUUGCUUCUUACACACCUACAAUUGACGCUGAUAGUAGCAUUGGUACACAGAUGUUCGAGUCAAUUUCAGCUAUGCCUGUUUACAAAGAUAAAAGUCAUGAGGAGCUGAGAUGGGAGGAUUAUCAAUUAGGAGAUAAAGGUACCUUUGUAAAAUAUUAAGAAAACCUGGAAGUUAUUCAUUAUUCUUUCCCAUUCAUUAUCGACUAACUUGCUGUAAUAAUUUGACUGUCAGUUGGACUGCAGCCAACCGCUCAGCCUUCUGGAGAGAUUUGCUCUGGUGUGUCAACUGCACCUACAAGUCCUUGUGGCUCUUCUCCAACAUUUGGCCAAACAUCUGUAAAUCCUCAUUCCAUCACAAGUACCAAUCCAUUUGGUGUAUCUAAUUCCCCAGUAUUUGGAACAGUAGGCACAUUUGAAGCAUCAAGCGCACCAGCUUUUGGCACUUCUCUCACUCAUGCUGUUGGAGCAUCAAAUUCUGCUUUUGGCACUUCCAAGACUCCUGUUUUUGGAGUGUCAAAUUCUGCUUUUGGCGUUUUCGACAGUCCUACUUUUGGAUCAUCUUCUACUCCUUCAUUCAGCUCUGGGUCUAGCCCUGCUUUUGGCCAAUCAACACCAGCAUUUGCCAGUAGUCCUUUUGGAACAACUACAAUUGGAGCACAGAGUUCUUUUGGUGAGUAACCAAGCCUACUUGAUCAUAGACUUCGAAACUACUUGUACGGUUAGGCAGAAAUAUAUAUUUUCAUGGGCCUUACAUGAUUUAAGGUCAAGGGAGUUCGUAUACGUAUACAUAUAUAUAUUAUUUAAAAUUCUUUGAGUUCUCAUGUAGGACCCCGAUCUUCUGCACCAGCAUUUGGACAGUCAACUUUUGGGGCUCAACGUGGGGGAAGAAGAGUUGCUUCUUACACGCCUACAAUUGACGCUGAUAGUAGCAUUGGUACACAGAUGUUCGAGUCAAUUUCAGCUAUGCCUGUUUACAAAGAUAAAAGUCAUGAGGAGCUGAGAUGGGAGGAUUAUCAAUUAGGAGAUAAAGGUACCUUUGUAAAAUAUUAAGAAAACCUGGAAGUUAUUCAUUAUUCUUUCCCAUGUUCAUUAUCGACUAACUUGCUGUAAUAAUUUGACUGUCAGUUGGAUUGCAGCCAACCGCUCAGCCUUCUGGAGAGAUUUGCUCUGGUGUGUCAACUGCACCUACAAGUCCUUGUGGUUCUUCUCCAACAUUUGGCCAAACAUCUGUAAAUCCUCAUUCCAUCACAAGUACCAAUCCAUUUGGUGUGUCUAAUUCCCCGGUAUUUGGAACAGUAGGCACAUUUGGAGCAUCAAGCGCACCAGCUUUUGGCACUUCUCUCACUCAUGCUUUUGGAGCAUCAAAUUCUGCUUUUGGCACUUCCAAGACUCCUGUUUUUGGAGUGUCAAAUUCUGCUUUUGGCUUUUCCGACACUCCUACUUUUGGAUCAUCUUCUACUCCUUCAUUCAGCUCUGGGUCUAGCCCUGCUUUUGGCCAAUCAACACCAGCAUUUGCCAGUAGUCCUUUUGGAACAACUACAAUUGGAGCACAGAGUUCUUUUGGUGAGUAACCAAGCCUACUUGAUCAUAGACUUCGAAACUACUUGUACAGUUAGGCAGAAAUAUAUAUUUUCAUGGGCCUUACAUGAUUUAAGGUCAAGGGAAUUCGUAUACGUAUACAUAUAUAUAUUAUUUAAAAUUCUUUGAGUUCUCAUGUAGGACCCUGAUCUUCUGCACCAGCAUUUGGACAGUCAACUUUUGGGGCUCAACGUGGGGGAAGAAGAGUUGCUUCUUACACGCCUACAAUUGACGCUGAUAGUAGCAUUGGUACACAGAUGUUCGAGUCAAUUUCAGCUAUGCCUGUUUACAAAGAUAAAAGUCAUGAGGAGCUGAGAUGGGAGGAUUAUCAAUUAGGAGAUAAAGGUACCUUUGUAAAAUAUUAAGAAAACCUGGAAGUUAUUCAUUAUUCUUUCCCAUGUUCAUUAUCGACUAACUUGCUGUAAUAAUUUGACUGUCAGUUGGACUGCAGCCAACCGCUCAGCCUUCUGGAGAGAUUUGCUCUGGUGUGUCAACUGCACCUACAAGUCCUUGUGGUUCUUCUCCAACAUUUGGCCAAACAUCUGUAAAUCCUCAUUCCAUCACAAGUACCAAUCCAUUUAGUCUAAAAUCUCCAUCCUUCAGCAGUGUAGGCUUUGCAACCUCGACUACUACCUCAAACCCUUCCCAA